GGUGAACGCUGGCGGCGUGCCUAAUACAUGCAAGUCGAGCGAAUGGAUUAAGAGCUUGCUCUUAUGAAGUUAGCGGCGGACGGGUGAGUAACACGUGGGUAACCUGCCCAUAAGACUGGGAUAACUCAGGGAAACCGGGGCUAAUACCGGAUAACAUUUUGAACCGCAUGGUUCGAAAUUGAAAGGCGGCUUCGGCUGUCACUUAUGGAUGGACCCGCGUCGCAUUAGCUAGUUGGUGAGGUAACGGCUCACCAAGGCAACGAUGCGUAGCCGACCUGAGAGGGUGCUCCGCCACACUGGGACUGAGACCCGGCCCAGACUCCUACGGGAGGCAGCAGUAGGGAAUCUUCCGCAAUGGACGAAAGUCUGACGGAGCAACGCCGCGUGAGUGAUGAAGGCUUUCGGGUCGUAAAACUCUGUUGUUAGGGAAGAACAAGUGCUAGUUGAAUAAGCUGGCACCUUGACGGUACCUAACCAGAAAGCCACGGCUAACUACGUGCCAGCCGCCGCCGUAA
rnacentral:rRNA from 1 species